UACGUAGGGGGCGAGCGUUGUCCGGAAUCACUGGGCGUAAAGGGUACGCAGGCGGCCUAGUAAGUCAGGUGUGAAAACCCAGGGCUCAACCUUGAGCGUGCAUUUGAGACUACACGGCUAGAGAGCAGGAGAGGGGAGUGGAAUUCCCAGUGUAGGGGUGAAAUCCGUAGAUAUUGGGAAGAACACCAGUGGUGAAGGCGGCUCACUGGCCUGUCUCUGACGCUCAGGUGCGAAAGCGUGGGGAGCAAACGGG
rnacentral:rRNA from 1 species